AAGGCUUUAAGUUAAAUUAAACUAGUAGCCUUCAAAGCUAGAAAUGAAGAAAAUUCUUUAAGCCUUA
rnacentral:tRNA from 1 species